ACUUUUUAUAAAAUCCCCUGAAGCAACUUAGGAUAGAAUUUUGUAAUUGUCUUAACAAGAAAUAUUCAACGUCUCUUAUCAAGCUGCGCAUCUGCCUCCCAGCUGGGAUGCUGGAACAUUGCCCUGCUGCUGGCAAGCCAAGCCGCUGCUUAUUCCCCAUAGGGGUUCCAGCCAGUGUUCUCACACACACCCCCAUACCCACACUCCCCUGAAAGCAACAUCGAGAUCUGGGACCAUGCUGUGGUUCUCAAUCUCACUGGGGACCUCAGGGAGUAGAGAACAGGGCUGCAGACCUGCCCUUCUCCUACCCAUGGGGCAGGAAGGGGAUGUUUGAGCACAGGAUGGGGCAGAAUCCGGUUUAGUUCCUAGUUAGUGCAAAAGUUACUGAGGGGUUGAAAGAGAGGCCUUUUCCAGAGAUUUAGGUGAGGCUCUUUACAACGAACAGCCCCUGCUCUCCCUCCCCAAUGUUCAUCCUUGAUGAAGAUGAGGGUCUUUGUCCAAACAUUUUUUUUUUUUUUUUAUUUUACCGGGGAUAUGAAUGCAUACAUCUUACAUCUGGUGAACCAACCAGAGAUUAAAUACCUUCUGCAGGAAAGAAUGCCCAGGAAGGGAAGCUCAUUGGCUAAACACAUUAAUUGGCAUGGCGAACUACAGGUUUUUAUGCUAUGUGACAUGUUGUUAUGGUCCUCUCCGUGCGGUAUCAUGGUUAGGUGUUCCAGGACAGGUAGAGCUUGGCAGAGAGCUGGUUCCACGCCUAUCGUUCUCAAUUCUGAGACUCCCUGGGGUUUUAAACCUGCCUCAACCUCGCCAGUUCUUCUCUCUGGUGGCCCAGUCCACUCGCCCCACAAUCCACCAUUUAGAAAUCACAGUAUCAAGAACUAAGUGAAAUCAAAUGCAAAGAACGUGUGGCCCCGCAUUUAAGAGUUUUACAAUUUACAGUCAAGUCUAGUGUUAACAUAGGCAUUAAAUUAGCGAUGUCACACAGUGCCCCAAGAGAAGCUCAAAUGAUAAGCUAUGAAUUGAAGCAUUCCCUCCCAGAGGCAAGAAAGUUGCACACACAACUCAGGAGCAUUGCAAUGCUUGCAGGACUCACAAGAUUGCAAGAGCAGGAAACAGUUGCCCAGGGAAAGGAGAUUCCUCAGCAGUGCAAAGAACACCGGGAACACUACUUACCAUCUAAGCAAAGAGGACACACAAUUGGGAGGUUAGGGGAUGGGACAGAUCUGAGAGGGAGUGACCACAAUGUAUGGCAUUUUCAAAGUGCCUAUACACACAAGAAAAAGAGAAAAAAAAAAAGGCCAAUGGAUAUUGACUUAGUAAAUUGAGGAUGGUUGGAAAAUAGUUAGAGCUGAUAGUCUAUUGGGUGGGAAAGCAGAUGUAAAUGAAAGAGAGGUAAAAGCAAUUACUUGGAGGUUAUUAUAGGACGUUCUCAAGGCCUGAGGUUUUUGGUUUAUUUGGGAGGGUUGAUAGAUAAUUAGAUGUCUUUCCUUUUAUAAUCAGUAAGUGAUACAAAUUUUCCCUGUAAAAAUACUAACUGGUGGAGGUAUUAGAAAGUAUUUGGUAAUUAAAUAGUGUUCAACCAUUUAACCAUGUAUAUGAAUGAAGCUUAUGUAAAUAUGGUAGGGUCUAGUGGGAGAGCAUGUGAACUCCUUCUGGAGUCUCUCCCAUGGUAGG
rnacentral:lncRNA from 1 species